rnacentral:rRNA from 1 species
CAAACUGCUCAGUAACACAUGAUCAACUUACCCUAUAGAGAAAAAUAACCUCGGGAAACUGAGGAUAAUGUUUCAUAGUUGAAUUGGCUUGGAAAAGUUUUUCGACGAAAGGGGUAAAAAAAAUGGUUUUUAUCUGCUAUAGGAUAGGAUCGUGUUCGAUUAUGGUUGCUGGUGAGGUAAUGGCUCACCAAGCCGAUAAUCGAUAGGGGCCGUGAGAGCGGGAGCCCCGAGAUGGGUACUGAGACAACGACCCAGGCCUUAUGAGGCGCAGCAGGCGCGAAACCUCCGCAAUACACGAAAGUGUGACGGGGUUACCCAAAGUGUUCAAUUUUGAACUGUGGUAGGUGAGUAAUGUUCCCUACUAAAAAGGAGAGGGCAAGGCUGGUGCCAGCCGCCGCGGUAAAACCAGCUCUUCAAGUGGUCGGGAUAAUUAUUGGGCUUAAAGUGUCCGUAGCCGGUUUAGUAAGUUUUUGGUAAAAUCGGGUAGCUUAACUAUCUAUAUGCUAGGAAUAUUAUUAUACUAGAGGGCGGGAGAGGUCUGAGGUACCGCAGGGGUAGGGGUGAAAUCUUAUAAUCCUUGUUGGACCACCAGUGGCGAAGGCGUCAGACUGGAACGCGCCUGACGGUGAGGGACGAAAGCCAGGGGAGCGAACCGGAUUAAAUACCCGGGUAGUCCUGGCCGUAAACGAUGCAUACUAGGUGAUGGCACGGCCAUGAGCCGUGUCAGUGCCGUAGGGAAACCGUUAAGUGUGCCGCCUGGGAAGUACGGUCGCAAGGCUAAACUUAAAGGAAUUGGCGGGGGGGCACCACAAGGGGUGAAGCCUGCGGUUCAAUUGGACUCAACGCCGGAAAACUUACCAGGGGAGACAGCAGUAUGACGGUCAGGUUGACGACCUUACCUAACGAGCUGAGAGGAGGUGCAUGGCCGUCGCCAGUUCGUGCCGUGAGGUAUCCUGUUAAGUCAGGCAACGAACGAGAUACGCAUUCUUAUUUGCCACCAAGAAGUCACGACUUCGUUGGGAACACUAAAGGGACCGCCGUCGAUAAGACGGAGGAAGGAGCGGGCAAAGGCAGGUCAGUAUGUUCUGAAACCCCUGGGCUACACGCGGGCUGCAAUGAUAUGAACAAUGGGCUGUGACUCCGAAAGGAAAACCAAUCCCGAAAUCAUAUUUUAGUUGGAAUUGUCGGCUGUAACCGCCGACAUGACGCGGAAUCCCU